GACGAACGCUGGCGGCGUGCUUAACACAUGCAAGUCGAACGGAAAGGCCCUGCUUUUGUGGGGUGCUCGAGUGGCGAACGGGUGAGUAACACGUGAGUAACCUGCCCUUGACUUUGGGAUAACUUCAGGAAACUGGGGCUAAUACCGGAUAGGAGCUCCUGCUGCAUGGUGGGGGUUGGAAAGUUUCGGCGGUUGGGGAUGGACUCGCGGCUUAUCAGCUUGUUGGUGGGGUAGUGGCUUACCAAGGCUUUGACGGGUAGCCGGCCUGAGAGGGUGACCGGCCACAUUGGGACUGAGAUACGACACAAACGCCUACGGGAGGCAGCAGUGGGGAAUAUUGCACAAUGGGCGGAAGCCUGAUGCAGCAACGCCGCGUGCGGGAUGACGGCCUUCGGGUGGUAAACCGCUUUCGCCUGUGACGAAGCGUGAGUGACGGUAAUGGGUAAAGAAGCACCGGCUAACUACGUG
rnacentral:rRNA from 1 species